ensembl:processed_transcript RIKEN cDNA 2210408F21 gene
GUAUGCUCACUGCAUGCAAUAGCCAUAACUUUUGCAGUUUGGGACUGACCGCAAAGUAGGACACAGAUUUCUGUUUUCUUUUUUUCCUACCAUUUUAUAGGUAAAAGAUUUGGGUUUUUUGUUUGUUUUGUUUGUUUGUUUGUUUUUCUGUAGGUCUCAGAAACCUCAGUGUCUUCUUCUUUUUUUUUUUUUCUUUCCUUAGCAAGUUAAGAAAGUUUACUUCUUCACUUAAAGGAAACCCUUUAUGGUUUCUCUGUUGUCAGCACCAUCAUGUCUUUAGGCCAUUAGUAAAUCACAUAGUGGGUUACUUGAAGGAAUCACUGUGAUCUCAUGGCAAGGAAAUAAGGUAGCCAAGAUGGCUGCUGAGUGGCUCAUGGGCCACUUACAGUGGGGAUACACUGGGCAAAGGGAUGAGACGUAUCUCAGGAGGGAACGGCAUGAACUUUCAUCCUACUUCCCAGAAUGACAUGCAAUUUUAAAUGUAUAAAUUUUUCAUUUCUAGAACUUUCCAUUUCAUAGUUUAAGUCGAAGGAUUGCUAAGGCAAGAGGAUACAGUUGUAUACACACUCUCCCUGUUAGGACUACUCUCACCGAAGCCUUUCUCCCAGCUGCCACCCUCAGUGUGAUUCCCUGGGACUUCACUGAUGCAGCUCCUUCACUGCUGGACAGCUCCUCACCGCCUACAAGUACUUUUCCACCCACCUCUCCUCCGUUCAAUUCUCAGAGCUGGCACUGUCACAGAAGCCUCUGAUUCUACACAAAAUGAGGAUGGUGGCCAGCAGAGACUCCUGUCCUUCCAGCGUGUAGCAUCAGCACCAUAAGGAGAGCAGGCUGAGUUCAGAACCUGAAGAUAAACGCAAGAGGUGAAGCCAACCGUCCUCAUGGAUGUCUGUCUUCUAGAACUUACCAGCUAGUCACGCAGCUUGACUGUGACCUCUCUUUCCCAUCACAAACACUCGUCUUAUUUGUCAUCCUCACUUCAUUUAGAUGUAUCAUCAGAGCACAUGUAGUACUAUAAAUUAAGUGGGAAAAGGAAGAGGAGGAGGAGGAAGAGAGAAGAGGAGGAGAAAGAAGAGGAGGAAGAAGAGGAGGAGGAGGGAAAGAGGAGGAAGAUUCUGUUACUAUUC